rnacentral:rRNA from 1 species
GACGGACGCUGGCGGCGUGCUUAACACAUGCAAGUCGAACGGAAAGGCCCUGCUUUUGUGGGGUGCUCGAGUGGCGAACGGGUGAGUAACACGUGAGUAACCUGCCCUUGACUUUGGGAUAACUUCAGGAAAAUGGGGCUAAUACCGGAUAGGAGCUCCUGCUGCAUGGUGGGGGUUGGAAAGUUUCGGCGGUUGGGGAUGGACUCGCGGCUUAUCAGCUUGUUGGUGGGGUAGUGGCUUACCAAGGCUUUGACGGGUAGCCGGCCUGAGAGGGUGACCGGCCACAUUGGGACUGAGAUACGGCCCAGACUCCUACGGGAGGCAGCAGUGGGGAAUAUUGCACAAUGGGCGGAAGCCUGAUGCAGCAACGCCGCGUGCGGGAUGACGGCCUUCGGGUUGUAAACCGCUUUCGCCUGUGACGAAGCGUGAGUGACGGUAAUGGGUAAAGAAGCACCGGCUAACUACGUG